CUACUACNGAUGCNGGCUCAUUANAUCANUUAUCUCUUUGNAGCNUUUUCACUACUNACAGAACCGUGUCAAUUCUAAAUACAAUACGUGCCAAAACCCCACUUUUGAGAGGGAACUGNUCUAUUAUNAAAAAAGCCAGCGCUACGGGUCCCCUAGCAGGUUUUGAAAAUUCUUGCAAAUCACUCGGCCGACNCGGACCGCCUUCCCNCUUUCGUCCCUUCCUUCUUUUUUCGGACGUAUCGUCUCUGCACUGGAAGGAAGGGGCUUACGGGGAAUACAACGGGUAACGGGAAA
rnacentral:rRNA from 1 species